rnacentral:rRNA from 2 species
AGCAGCCGCGGUAAUUCCAGCUCCAAUAGCGUAUAUUAAAGUUGUUGCAGUUAAAAAGCUCGUAGUUGAAUUUCGGGGUUAGUAGGUUGGUCAUGCCUCUGGUAUGUACUGGUCUCACUGAUUCCUCCUUCCUGAUGAACCUUAAUGCCAUUAAUUUGGUGUUUUGGGGAAUUUGGACUGUUACUUUGAAAAAAUUAGAGUGUUUAAAGCAAGCUAACGCUUGAAUACAUUAGCAUGGAAUAAUGAAAUAGGACGUUCGAUCCUAUUUUGUUGGUUUCUAGGAUUGACGUAAUGAUUAAUAGGGAUAGUUGGGGGCAUUAGUAUUCAAUUGUCAGAGGUGAAAUUCUUGGAUUUAUUGAAGACUAACUACUGCGAAAGCAUUUGCCAAGGAUGUUCUCAUUAAUCAAGAACGAAAGUUAGGGGAUCGAAGACGAUCAGAUACCGUCGUAGUCUUAACCAUAAACUAUGCCGACUAGGGAUCGGAUGAUGUUAAUUUUUUAAUGACUCA